CACGUAGGGUCCGAGCGUUGUCCGGAAUUAUUGGGCGUAAAGAGCUCGUAGGCGGUUUGUCGCGUCUGCUGUGAAAUCCCGAGGCUCAACCUCGGGCCUGCAGUGGGUACGGGCAGACUGGAGUGCGGUAGGGGAGAAUGGAAUUCCUGGUGUAGCGGUGAAAUGCGCAGAUAUCAGGAGGAACACCAGCGGCGAAGGCGGCGCUCUGGGCUGGCACUGACACUGAGGAGCGAAAGCGUGGGGAGCGAACAGG
rnacentral:rRNA from 1 species